GCCAUCCAGGUGAAGUGCAUCUGGAAAAAUCCACCACACCGAUCCCAUCGCUCAAGCCCGCAGGCUCCUAACACAACCCAUCGGGCCAAGGAGCAGCCUGACAAGGCAUCGGCAGGUCUCCAACGGGCAAUGGGACGUCAUUGGAGGAGACACGAGAAAGCUCUGGCACUAAGUUCUUCCUUUGAUCAAAAAGCUCGGCCACUCUUAUGAUCAUCUGGCAUCUGUUCCCGUCUCCACAAUUGUCCUCCUUAGCCCAUCGCUGGAAGAGGCACUUGGGUACCAGAAGCAAAUCAUGAAAAAGUGGCCGCCUGGGUAGCAGCAUCAGGAGUAAAGCUGGGCCUUUUUUUUUUUUUUGGCAAAUAGUAAAUUCACUGAAAAAUGCUUUGUUGGAGAAACCAAAAUUAUUUGCAAA